UGAGAGACCUUCUAGAGGAUAAAAUCAAUACAAAGGCUCACUCACGUCAUGAGGAAGGAAGGAAGGCGCUCAAAAAGUCGUGCUUCUAUUUUUUUUAGAUGCUCGUGGGCCUCUUUGGAUUGGCACAACAAGGAAGGGCCUUCCAUAUCCUAUUCAUGCUGAGGCAAAAUCAGGUCACAGGUAUGGACUCAUCCCAAUUUUCGUCGAAAGACCAAUCCUCGGAAUUUAAGUUUUGCACCAGAAUUUCAUGCAGAUAUGGAGACACUCUACACCAAAAAAAGCCCCAAGCAAUCAAUGAACGAAUGAUAUCCGGACAAUGAGCCUGAAAUCAAAAUUAUACAAUUUUGGCCAUCUAUAAAAUUGAAGCCUAAUGUAAGAAAUAACAUCGCUUCUGCGAAACACGGAGAAGAUCAAGGCCUACUGUUAAA